GAUGAAGAACGUAGCGAAAUGCGAUAAGUAAUGUGAAUUGCAGAAUUCAGUGAAUCAUCGAAUCUUUGAACGCACAUUGCGCCCCUUGGUAUUCCGAGGUGCAUGCCUGUUCGAGCGUCAUUAUAACCCUCAAGCUCAGCUUGGUGUUGGGGCCUGCUGCACUGGCAGCCCUUAAAAUCAGUGGCGGCGCCAUCUGGCUCUAAGCGUAGUAAUUCUUCUCGCUAUGGAGUCCUGGUGGAUGCUUGCCAUCAACCCCCAAUUUUUCUAUGGUUGACCUCGGAUCAGGUAGGGAUACCCGCUGAACUUAAGCAUAUCAAUAAGCGGAGGA
rnacentral:misc_RNA from 1 species